rnacentral:rRNA from 1 species
GACGAACGCUGGCGGCGUGCCUAAUACAUGCAAGUAGAACGCUGAAGAGAGGAGCUUGCUCUUCUUGGAUGAGUUGCGAACGGGUGAGUAACGCGUAGGUAACCUGCCUUGUAGCGGGGGAUAACUAUUGGAAACGAUAGCUAAUACCGCAUAACAAUGGAUGACACAUGUCAUUUAUUUGAAAGGGGCAAUUGCUCCACUACAAGAUGGACCUGCGUUGUAUUAGCUAGUAGGUGAGGUAAUGGCUCACCUAGGCGACGAUACAUAGCCGACCUUAGAGGGUGAACGGACCACACGGGAAUGAGAACCGGCCCAGACUCCUACGGGAGGCAGCAGUAGGGGAUCUUCGGCAAUGGGGGCAACCCUGACCGAGCAACGCCGGGGGAGUGAAGAAGGUUUUCGGAUCGGAAAGCUCUGUUGUAAGUCAAGAAAGGGUGUGAGAGUGGAAAGUUCACACUUUGACGGUAGCUUACCAGAAAGGGACGGCUAACUACGUG